CUAGUUGCAGACACACCUUGUGUAACAAUUUCUUUCCAGAUUGAAACAUCCCAUCCCGCAGGAUGCUCCUUAAGCACAAAGUAGACUGAAAUUUCUACACCAGAAGCAGCUCUGGGCACCAGUGCUCUGGGGCCUACCAGCAUCUGGGGAGACUAUUUCACAGACACAUCCAAGGAACACUGACCUGCGGACUGCCACCCUGCUUGUACUCACCGUCUCAAAGUCGGAAUCAAAGGUAAUUGCGGACAGACUGUCAUCGCCCUGGAAGAAAGGCAAACAGGGUCACUGGAGGGCACCUGCUCGGGUCCGUCAGUCCCAUUUCUACACUGCCUGUCCCAGCUGCCGCCACACCACCCAGCACAUCCCAUGGGACAUCACAGGAAGCUUGGGACAUCGCCAUGCUGCAGUAGCCAAUGUCGCCCAACAGUCAGAAAGGAGGGGUUGGGAGCAUGGGGAUGCCUCAGCUGGAAAACGCCCGUGCUGGAGGUAGAGACAGGCACAUCUCUGGAGUCCACCGACCAGCCAGCCCAGCCUUGGUGCAUCUGAGGCCAGUGUGAGACCGUGUGUGCAGAUAAUGUCUGAAGCAUGCCAUGUGACAUUC